UAGGUAAUAUUUUGUUGAUGCCGUGCCUGGUGCUUUUCAAGGUCGAUUGUUCCCCAAAAGUUCUCUCCAUUUCGUCCACUCUUCAUAUGCAAUUCAUUGGCUUUCAAAAGUUCCAAGAGAUUUGCUAGACAAGGAUUCACCGGCAUACAACAAGGGGAAGGUUUAUUACACAAAUGCCCCAAAAGAAGUUUUUGAGGCCUACUCAACUCAAUUUGCUAAGGACAUCACAUCUUUUCUGAAUGCCAGAGCGCAAGAGGUUGUCCAUGGAGGGCUCAUGGCCCUUCUGUUUAUGAGCCUUCAGAAUGGGGUUCGUUGUUCACCAUGCAAUUUGGACGCGGUAAAUGAUUUGCUCGGAGCCACCCUCAUGGACAUGGUCAAGGAGGGAUUAGUUAGUGAAGCAAAGGUGGACACCUUCAACUUGCCCUUGUACAUUGCAAUUCCACAAGAAUUGAAGGUGUUGAUAGACAAAAAUGCUUGUUUUAGCAUAUAGAGAAUGGAAACCAUAGUCUGCAGUGAACAACAUUUAGAUGCAGCUGCAGCAAAAUCUUUGAUUUUGCUGAUGUUGAGAUCUGGCUUGGAAGGUAUAAUUAGUGAACACUUCGGAAAUGAUAUCAUUAAUGACUUGUUUGAUUGCUACGUCGAGAAAGUCGUAGACUCUGGCAUAUUUUCAGAGUCAACAAGCUACAUGGGAGUGGCUGAGUUGUUUCUCCUUCUCAAGAGAAAUGAUGCUUGACCCCGUUGAACAAUGUCUUUUUAGAGUCAUGUGCUUUUGAAUCAAGGUCCUGCAGUGUCAAAUAGACUUGUUUGGCCGGCACACCAAGAAAGCUAUAGAUCCUCCUUCAUCUCGGGGAGACGGGACGACGAGAUCCAAGAUUGUUUGUUCUUUAACAUAUUAUUGACGGUCUUCUUCUCACAUUUUGUGUCAUAUAUAUUUUUAUCUGUGCGUGUUUAUCAAUAAUAUGUUGGUGGCUUAUUAAAAACUCUGUUAAUGUCAGUUAUUUUAAAAAUCAGUACCAAAAACAAUUUAUGCAAUGCUUUAUUCAUUUGUCUAUAUAUAUUGAGAUCUUCCAAUCA